UAGAAGUCAGAUGGUGUGGGAUGGGCCCAC
rnacentral:piRNA from 1 species